UCCCUCCAUUGAAUGGACGCCAUUACAGUAAAAUAUCGUUCCAUCUCUCGAAAUCACUGAACAAUUUGAGAUCCUUGAAACCGAUUCAUUUUCUUCAUCAGAAAGCCAUCUCUUAUCCCUGUGCAAGAACCUGAGCAAUCUCUACAUUUCUUGCGAUUUUUCGAGGUGUGGAGAAUCCUUCGGACAUCACGCUAUGGAACGCUCUGAUCGCAGCAUAUAUGAAGAACGCAAUGUUCCGCGAGGCUCUGUCAUUGUUCGAGAAAUUACUGCGGUUUCCAAAUUUGAAACCAGACGGUUACACGUACGUACCCGAGCUUGUUGAAGGCUUGUGGAGGAUUGGGGAGGAAGGAGUACGGGGAGAUGAAUCAUUCGAUGCUGAUGAAAUUAGGGUUUAUAUCGGAUGUGGUUAUUGCUAGUUCAUUGGUCGGAAUGUAUGCGAAAUGUGGGAUGUUUGGAUCUGCAGUGAAGGUGUUCGACGAAAUGCCUGAGAGGGAUUUAGCUUGUUGGAAUAUUUUUGUCAUAUAUUUAUUUAGCAAAAUAUAUCCUAUAUGUUUGAGAAAGUUGCUAUUUCUAUUAUUUAACUGCGGCAUAUAGGGAUAGAAAUAGCGAUUUUUUCAAACAUGUAGAAUAUAUAUUGCCAACAAGAUAAAUACGUAACAACAAUGAUAAUAGGGUAUACGUGUGGAAUAUUUUUUUGCAAUUUUUGCGACGAGGAGCAAUGGAUUGAUGCCCGACUCUAUCUCUUAUACCGUCGCGAUAUCGCCGUGUAGUCGCCUCGUCGAUUUGGAGCGAGGAGAAAAGAUUCAUGAAGAAGCGUCUUUAAUCGGUUGUCAACAAGAGAUGUAGUUUCGUGGACUUCGAUGACGAGCGCCCGAAGCUUUUCGAGGAUAUGUUGAGAGCCCGUGUAAGACCCGAUAGAGUAACCUUCCUCACAGUAAUUUCAGUUUGCAGCCACGCCGGACUAGUUGACGAGGGACGGCGAUGUUUUAACUUAAUGGUACACGGUUAUGGAAUCCGACCUACGAUUGAUUGCAGAGUAUUCGUGUCUUAUAGAAUCAUAUGAAGAAAGAUGAAAUGGAAGCACAAGUUGAGGCGUAGUCGAACAGAUGCGUCGAUCAGAUCAGACAACAGUAAUCUUUGCGACGCCUUCUUGCAGCAAAGUUGAAGAGACGACAUAAACAAGCAAAGAAGGCGCCGUACGCGCGGAGGGUCGGUAUACACAUCAUUACCAGUCUCGGAAGAACCUGCGCCGCGGCUGUGCGAGCCUCCCGGAAUUUUAAGGUGUUUGAGACUUUAUUACCCGUCUAUUUGGCAACUUUUACUAUGCUAAAUUUUAUACUUUCUU